rnacentral:lncRNA from 1 species
UAACUCUGAAUACAACAAGGGAAAGUGGGAAUUUACAGCUAAGGAGCAGAGUGGGGGUGGUACUCAGUGAUAGAUAUUACUAAAAGGAAAUAUCAGGAGUGAAGGAAGAUUCUGACUAAACCAACCUAACAGGAUUCUUUAUGAAGGCAGGCUAGAGUGAUCAGAUAUAGGAGGGGCUUGGUGCUGGAACCUGAUUAGAUAUUGAGGGUGGGAGAAUCUGGCUAAACCAACUUAGCAGGAUUCUUGCUAAAACUGGACAAUGCAGAGAAACACACAGGAACCCAAAAUUCAGGGCCUGAGAAAAGAGUUUGGAGGAAUCUGACUGAAGUUUGGUCAAAGAGAGAGUCUUUGUAAGGGGGUGAGAAUUUGUAUUUCUUACAUGUUUCCAGGUGAUGAUGCUCUUGGUCUGGGAACCAAGUUUCAAGACCCACAGGUUUAGAAUAUUAUGAGUUCCAUCAGGAAGAAGAGUUGUUUUAGAGUUCGACUCAGACUGAAAGAGCUGGAAUUGGUAUUUCAACUUUUGGCUGAUCUACUUGCGGAAAAAGACUUUGUUAGAGGAGAAUCACAUUCUUCAGACCACCCGUCUAUCUCGCACAGGCAGACAGAGCACGUCAUGGGUCCUGUCUCCCAAAAUUGGAGAAAUUGGAGAAAUUCUUCAGGAAAUUGGAGGAGAAUGAAGUCCCUCUACCUGUUUGCACCUCCUGUCAUAUAUCAUUCUCUGAAUUCUAGGAAUUCCUCUUCAGAUGAUCUUCCAUGGCACAAGUAA